rnacentral:rRNA from 1 species
UUUUGGACAAUGGGGGCAACCCUGAUCCAGCAAUGCCGCGUGAGUGAAGAAGGCCUUCGGGUUGUAAAGCUCUUUUGUCAGGGAAGAAACACCGGCUCUAACACAGUCCGGGAAUGACGGUACCUGAAGAAUAAGCACCGGCUAACUACGUGCCAGCAGCCGCGGUAAUACGUAGGGUGCAAGCGUUAAUCGGAAUUACUGGGCGUAAAGCGUGCGCAGGCGGUUAUACAAGACAGGCGUGAAAUCCCCGGGCUUAACCUGGGAAUGGCGCCUGUGACUGUAUAGCUAGAGUGUGUCAGAGGGGGGUAGAAUUCCACGUGUAGCAGUGAAAUGCGUAGAUAUGUGGAGGAAUACCAAGGCGAAGGCAGCCCCCGGGAAACACUACGCUCAGCAGAA